AUUGCUGGCGACCGGCGCACGGGUGAGUAACACGUAUCCAACCUGCCGAUAACUCGGGGAUAGCCUUUCGAAAGAAAGAUUAAUACCCGAUGGCAUAAUUAGACCGCAUGGUUUGAUUAUUAAAGAAUUUCGGUUAUCGAUGGGGAUGCGUUCCAUUAGGCAGUUGGUGAGGUAACGGCUCACCAAACCUUCGAUGGAUAGGGGUUCUGAGGGGAAGGUCCCCCACAUUGGAACUGAGACACGGUCCAA
rnacentral:rRNA from 1 species